GAAGGGGGCUAGCGUUGCUCGGAAUGACUGGGCGUAAAGGGCGCGUAGGCGGUUCGUACAGUCAGACGUGAAAUUCCCGGGCUCAACCUGGGGGCUGCGUUUGAUACGUAUGGACUUGAGUUCGGAAGAGGGUCGUGGAAUUCCCAGUGUAGAGGUGAAAUUCGUAGAUAUUGGGAAGAACACCGGUGGCGAAGGCGGCGACCUGGUCCGAUACUGACGCUGAGGCGCGAAAGCGUGGGGAGCAAACAGGAUUAGAUACCCUGGUAGUCCACGCCGUAAACGAUGUGUGCUGGAUGUUGGGCGGUCUGACCGUUCAGUGUCGUAGCUAACGCGAUAAGCACACCGCCUGGGGAGUACGGCCGCAAGGUUG
rnacentral:rRNA from 1 species